UACGUAGGGGGCAAGCGUUGUCCGGAUUUAUUGGGCGUAAAGAGCGUGUAGGCGGUUCGGUAGGUCCGUUGUGAAAACUCGAGGCUCAACCUCGAGACGCCGAUGGAAACCCCCGAACUAGAGUCCGGAAGAGGAGAAUGGAAUUCCUGGUGUAGCGGUGAAAUGCGCAGAUAUCAGGAAGAACACCCGUGGCUAAGGCGGUUCUCUAGUACGGUACUGACGCUGAGGAGCGAAAGCAUGGGGAGCGAACAGG
rnacentral:rRNA from 1 species